rnacentral:rRNA from 2 species
AUAGGGUCAAGUGAAUAAGUGCAUCAGGCGGAUGCCUUGGCGAUGAUAGGCGACGAAGGACGUGUAAGCCUGCGAAAAGCGCGGGGGAGCUGGCAAUAAAGCUAUGAUUCCGCGAUGUCCGAAUGGGGAAACCCACUGCAUUCUGUGCAGUAUCCUAAGUUGAAUACAUAGGCUUAGAGAAGCGAACCCGGAGAACUGAACCAUCUAAGUACCCGGAGGAAAAGAAAUCAACCGAGAUUCCGCAAGUAGUGGCGAGCGAACGCGGAGGAGCCUGUACGUAAUAACUGUCGAGAUAGAAGAACAAGCUGGGAAGCUUGACCAUAGCGGGUGACAGUCCCGUAUUCGAAAUCUCAACAGCGGUACUAAGCGUACGAAAAGUAGGGCGGGACACGUGAAAUCCUGUCUGAAUAUGGGGGGACCAUCCUCCAAGGCUAAAUACUCAUCAUCGACCGAUAGUGAACCAGUACCGUGAGGGAAAGGCGAAAAGAACCCCGGGAGGGGAGUGAAACAGAACCUGAAACCUGAUGCAUACAAACAGUGGGAGCGCCCUAGUGGUGUGACUGCGUACCUUUUGUAUAAUGGGUCAACGACUUACAUUCAGUAGCGAGCUUAACCGGAUAGGGGAGGCGUAGGGAAACCGAGUCUUAAUAGGGCGAUGAGUUGCUGGGUGUAGACCCGAAACCGAGUGAUCUAUCCAUGGUCAGGUUGAAGGUGCCGUAACAGGUACUGGAGGACCGAACCCACGCAUGUUGCAAAAUGCGGGGAUGAGCUGUGGGUAGGGGUGAAAGGCUAAACAAACUCGGAGAUAGCUGGUUCUCCCCGAAAACUAUUUAGGUAGUGCCUCGAGCAAGACACUGAUGGGGGUAAAGCACUGUUAUGGCUAGGGGGUUAUUGCAACUUACCAACCCAUGGCAAACUCAGAAUACCAUCAAGUGGUUCCUCGGGAGACAGACAGCGGGUGCUAACGUCCGUUGUCAAGAGGGAAACAACCCAGACCGCCGGCUAAGGUCCCAAAUGAUAGAUUAAGUGGUAAACGAAGUGGGAAGGCACAGACAGCCAGGAUGUUGGCUUAGAAGCAGCCAUCAUUUAAAGAAAGCGUAAUAGCUCACUGGUCGAGUCGUCCUGCGCGGAAGAUGUAACGGGGCUCAAAUCUAUAACCGAAGCUGCGGAUGCCGGUUUACCGGCAUGGUAGGGGAGCGUUCUGUAGGCUGAUGAAGGUGCAUUGUAAAGUGUGCUGGAGGUAUCAGAAGUGCGAAUGUUGACAUGAGUAGCGAUAAAGCGGGUGAAAAGCCCGCUCGCCGAAAGCCCAAGGUUUCCUACGCAACGUUCAUCGGCGUAGGGUGAGUCGGCCCCUAAGGCGAGGCAGAAAUGCGUAGUCGAUGGGAAACAGGUUAAUAUUCCUGUACUUGAUUCAAAUGCGAUGUGGGGACGGAGAAGGUUAGGUUGGCAAGCUGUUGGAAUAGCUUGUUUAAGCCGGUAGGUGGAAGACUUAGGCAAAUCCGGGUUUUCUUAACACCGAGAAGUGAUGACGAGUGUCUACGGACACGAAGCAACCGAUACCACGCUUCCAGGAAAAGCCACUAAGCUUCAGUUUGAAUCGAACCGUACCGCAAACCGACACAGGUGGGUAGGAUGAGAAUUCUAAGGCGCUUGAGAGAACUCGGGAGAAGGAACUCGGCAAAUUGAUACCGUAACUUCGGGAGAAGGUAUGCCCUCUAAGGUUAAGGACUUGCUCCGUAAGCCCCGGAGGGUCGCAGAGAAUAGGUGGCUGCGACUGUUUAUUAAAAACACAGCACUCUGCCAACACGAAAGUGGACGUAUAGGGUGUGACGCCUGCCCGGUGCCGGAAGGUUAAUUGAAGAUGUGCAAGCAUCGGAUCGAAGCCCCGGUAAACGGCGGCCGUAACUAUAACGGUCCUAAGGUAGCGAAAUUCCUUGUCGGGUAAGUUCCGACCCGCACGAAUGGCGUAACGAUGGCCACACUGUCUCCUCCCGAGACUCAGCGAAGUUGAAGUGGUUGUGAAGAUGCAAUCUACCCGCUGCUAGACGGAAAGACCCCGUGAACCUUUACUGUAGCUUUGCAUUGGACUUUGAAGUCACUUGUGUAGGAUAGGUGGGAGGCUUGGAAGCAGAGACGCCAGUCUCUGUGGAGUCGUCCUUGAAAUACCACCCUGGUGUCUUUGAGGUUCUAACCCAGACCCGUCAUCCGGGUCGGGGACCGUGCAUGGUAGGCAGUUUGACUGGGGCGGUCUCCUCCCAAAGCGUAACGGAGGAGUUCGAAGGUUACCUAGGUCCGGUCGGAAAUCGGACUGAUAGUGCAAUGGCAAAAGGUAGCUUAACUGCGAGACCGACAAGUCGGGCAGGUGCGAAAGCAGGACAUAGUGAUCCGGUGGUUCUGUAUGGAAGGGCCAUCGCUCAACGGAUAAAAGGUACUCCGGGGAUAACAGGCUGAUUCCGCCCAAGAGUUCAUAUCGACGGCGGAGUUUGGCACCUCGAUGUCGGCUCAUCACAUCCUGGGGCUGUAGUCGGUCCCAAGGGUAUGGCUGUUCGCCAUUUAAAGUGGUACGUGAGCUGGGUUUAAAACGUCGUGAGACAGUUUGGUCCCUAUCUGCAGUGGGCGUUGGAAGUUUGACGGGGGCUGCUCCUAGUACGAGAGGACCGGAGUGGACGAACCUCUGGUGUACCGGUUGUAACGCCAGUUGCAUAGCCGGGUAGCUAAGUUCGGAAGAGAUAAGCGCUGAAAGCAUCUAAGCGCGAAACUCGCCUGAAGAUGAGACUUCCCUUGCGGUUUAACCGCACUAAAGGGUCGUUCGAGACCAGGACGUUGAUAGGUGGGGUGUGGAAGCGCGGUAACGCGUGAAGCUAACCCAUACUAAUUGCCCGUGAGGCUUGACUCUAU